GACGAACGCUGGCGGCGUGCCUAAUACAUGCAAGUCGAACGAGAGCGACCGGUGCUUGCACUGGUCAAUCUAGUGGCGAACGGGUGAGUAACACGUGGGUAACCUGCCCAUCAGAGGGGGAUAACAUUCGGAAACGGAUGCUAAAACCGCAUAGGUUCUUGAGUCGCAUGACUGAAGAAGGAAAAGAGGCUUCGGCUUCUGCUGAUGGAUGGACCCGCGGUGCAUUAGCUAGUUGGUGAGGUAACGGCUCACCAAGGCCGUGAUGCAUAGCCGACCUGAGAGGGUGAUCGGCCACAUUGGGACUGAGACACGGCCCAAACUCCUACGGGAGGCAGCAGUAGGGAAUCUUCCGCAAUGGACGCAAGUCUGACGGAGCAACGCCGCGUGAGUGAAGAAGGAUUUCGGUUCGUAAAACUCUGUUGUUAGAGAAGAACAGCGCAUAGAGU
rnacentral:rRNA from 1 species